UGAACGCUGCAUGAAACUGGCCCGCCUCAAUGAAACAAAAGGGAAAAUAAGGAAAAGGAAGGAUACGGUGGUUCUGGCUUCCCAUCAUAGAGAAGGAAUUUAUCGGGUUAUAUCAUCGAAGUGAAGUCGACAAACAAAAGGAACUUGGCAGUUAUUUAGGGUUUAUCGUCGGGAACAGCUAUCCAAGAUCGCCAAAGGACUUCAAUCUGAUCGCUUGGUGUGUUCACGAGCUUCAGUUAGCUGGUUGAUGCACCACAAUCGAAUCUAAAGUAAAUGGGGAUUGGUUGGCAGUUCUAGAUUACAUAUUUAUUUCCAUUUGAGAAGAGAAGGUGAUUAUGGCAGGGCAACUGCCGUGGAAUCCUUCUCAGCAAGGGACUACAGGAAGUGGAGCCUAUGUGGUGUUCCAGAGUACAUCAGAAGGGUCUCACGGCUGUGCACCUAGAUGGUACUUCAGUAGACAAGAAAUAGAAGAGUAUUCGCCAUCUAGAAAGGAUGGAAUUGAUUAUAGGAAGGAGAGCCAACUUCGCAAGUUUUACUGUUCAUUUAUACAGGAGUUGGGCAUGAAGCUUAGAGUACCCCAAUUAACAAUUGCGACAGCGAUGAUUUUAUGCCACCGGUUUUAUUUGCACCAAUCUCAUGCAAAGAAUGAAUGGCAGACAAUUGCUUCAGUAUGCAUGUUUCUUGCAAGCAAGGUUGAAGAAACACCUCGUUUGCUGAAGGAUGUUGUUGUUGUGGCUUAUGAGACAAUCAACAAGAGGGAUCCUACUGCUGCACAAAGAAUAAAACAGAAGGAAGUUUAUGAGAAGCAGAAGGAACUAAUUGUUAUAGGGGAGAGACUUCUACUUGCAACUAUCGCAUUUGAUCUCAAUAUCCAACAUCCAUAUAAGCCACUGGUUGCAGCUUUAAAGAGAUUAAAGACUUCCCAUAAUGACCUUGUAAAAGUGGCUUGGAAUUUUGUGAAUGAUUGGCUAUGGACAACAUUGUGCUUGCAAUACAAACCGCAUUACAUAGCAGCUGGAUCUUUGUACCUUGCUGCAAAAUUUCAUAAAGUGAAGUUGCCUACAGAAAGCGGGAAAGCUUGGUGGUUGGAGUUUGAUGUUUCUCCACUGCGGUUAGAAGAGGUUAUCCAGCAGAUGCUUGGGAUGUUGGAGCAGAAAAAAAGACCUUUAAUUCCUUCUGUGUGUGAGAAGGCAAUUGAUGCUGCAGUUGUUGGAAAGGCAGUUUCCUGCGGUUCACAAUCUUGCAUUCUAAGUGCAUCCAUUGGGGGUUCUGUUUCAAGCCAAGGUUCUAAUGGAGAUGUUGAGAAGGCAGUUGAUGCUGCAGUUGUUGAAAAGGCAGUUUCCUGCUGUUCACAAUCUUGCAUUCUAAGUGCAUCCAUUGGAGGUUCUGUUUCAAGCCAAGGUUCUGAUGGAGAUGUUGGUGGAGGUGACAUGUCUACAAGCAUGAAAGAGACAUAUUGCUCUAUUUCUGAAAAAGGAGAACCGUCACAAUGUCGGGCAAGUGACUGUGGAAGCAUGAACAGUGUUGUUGAAGAUGGCAAUACACCUGAAGUGGGUGAGGUUCAGCCAACGAUACUGGAAUCAGAUCAGAUAUCAAGUUGUAAGAUAGUGUCUGUUAAUGUUGGCCUCAGUGAUUUUGAUAAGGUUCGCAUGAGAGAGGCAUUAAAGAGGAGGAGAAGUGAGAGAGCUACGAGGAUGGCUGUGGUUGCCAUUGAUGAUGAUGAUGAUGAUGCCUGGAUAGAGAGAGAAGUAGAAAAGGGUGUAGAGGUGGAGACUGCCUCUGCAGAAAAGAGACAGAAGUUGGUAUUAUGAAGUUUGCUUUUGAACUGAGGCUCAAUUAAUUAUUGAAGAGUCUCUUUACCUGUCCUAAUAGAAAGGAGGAAAAUGGUUAUUGAGAUCAUCAACUGGAAACUCUAUAUUGAUUGGAAGACUGGACUUCUUCAUCUGUGAAACUAAUGUAUGUGGGGAACCACACUGGGGUAGACAGGAGGGAACCAACAAGGAAGACGAGUGGCAUCGAUCCACGAGAGGCCAUUGGACCAUACAACUCUUGACAAUGACAGUGGCCCGAAAUUCCCUUCCAUGAUCCUUGACACCCAUCCAAGCACAACGAUGACUAUAUUCCUUCACCGUGGCUCAAGGAAAACUCAAUCCUUAAAUAUUUAUCAUUCAGAGCGAAUCAUGGUGAAAAGCCAUAAACUCAUAUAUACCUAAAGUUGUGGUACGUUUUACACAUACAAUUCAAACAUUAAUCAUGCUAUCACACAACUUAGAGACUUCUCAUGCUAGAGGGGUCCAAUCCAAAAUUUUAAGACA